rnacentral:ncRNA from 1 species
AACAAACCAAUGAGUAGGAGAUAAAACUUAAAGAUGUACUUUUAGAGAGUCUAGGGUGGUGGAAGCUAGAUAGUGGCAGUUAAGUAAAUGGACCUACGAGGGCAAAGGGGAAAGGUAACGAGUAUCCUGCGACGUGAGCUUACGUUAUAAAGCAAAAAUGUGUUAGCAUUUUACAGAGUGGGUUCAUUGUAACCAAUAAAGGUGGUACCGCAGAUUAUUACAUCUGUCCUUUGA